GGGAGGAUGGCUUGAGCCAGGGAGGUCGAAGUUUCAGGGAGCUGUCAUCUCACCACUACACUCCAGCCUGGGCAACAGAGGGAAACCCCAUCUCUAUUUAAAAAAAAACAAAACUCUAAUGUGAUUUAAUAUCCUUGUGUAGAUUUGACUUAAGAAGAUAGAACAUUCCAUCAUACUCCUUUUCUUAAAGACUACCUAGAAGACUAAUGAGUGAUUUGAUCACAUAGUUGAAUCAGUGUUAUAAUAAAAAGAACACUUUACUAAAUUCUCGAUAAUGUUCUGAAGUUUUCCAAAAGUGUAGUCUAUAUAGAUCUUUAUUUUUCAGACUAUUUAAAUAUUUUUGAGAUUUAGUUUGUAGUAACAUCUAGCAUCCUAGGAAAACACAAAUACUGUGUGACAGCUCAUAUACUUUUUUCUUUUUAAUUUUCAUUCAAAUUUCAGGGUGCUUUGUUUCUCCCCUUCAAUUUUAAUUUUAAUAGCAGCUGUAAACACUUUGCUUCAAAAUUAUGGUAAAUCAUGACACAAAAGAGGUCUCAAGCAGAGUUUUUUUCUUUUCAUUUUACUAUAGCUAGCUUGUGACCACAUCUACAUCUUGUUAUUGCUUGGCAUAGCACAUACCUUUUAUAACAAUACUCUUUGUAAUAACUUAUUUAACUACAAGGAACUCAUAGCCGACUCAACAGUAGUAUUUUAAGUUGUUAGUUCAUAUAUUAGAUGUACACUUGACACGGUUUGUAACAUUUAAAACACACAUUAUUAAUUUAAAGCUUUUGAUGUGCCACAUAGUUUAAUAUUAACUUGCUGAAUGUAAAAUGGACUCAAAGUUUCCUUUUGGAGUAUGUUGAAAGAUUAUCAAGGUUAUAGUUAUUGGUUAUACAUAAUUAUGUGGUUAUAGUUAUUUGUUUCUUAAAAAUGAACAAUCUUAAAGUUUAGAAACGUAACAGUACUUGGAACAUUGUUCUGCAUCCUUGUGAACAAAAGAAGAUCCAGUGAUACUUAGAGGAGAGAGACAAACUUUGGAAGCUGUCUGUUGACUAUUAAGAGACUUGUCUUCCUCUUAGAGGUGGGACCAAUGACUGGGAGUGAUAUAGGGAGGAUAAGACCUGUCUCUAAAAUUGCUGUGAAUAUUGUCCACGUAGAGUGCACUUUACUUCAGCAUAGGUUGUGAAUGAAAAGUAUAUUGAUGUGCUAGAAAGGCUUUAACCAAAGGCCUGAGCUUGUCAAGCCUGAGGCCGGCACGUGGCGUGAGCGUGGUGAAUGUGCAGCGGCCUCUGCCCGCACCCAGCUCCCCGGCUCUGGGUCAUGAAGGGCCGCUGGGCGUUUCUCCGCAUGGUGCCUGUGUCUCCUGCAUUGUUAGGAGCUCCUGCUUCUCACUCCAGUUCCUCCUUCUCACUCCUGCUUCCUCCUCCAGUUAGGAUCGUCAAAUACAAAGUCACAAAAGGAUGGCUUAGCCGAGUUCAAUCUCUUCCUGAACUGUGCCAUAUGGAAGUAUAUGUCAACUCGUGAGCAAGGUGGACAGCGUGAGUUCAGUCUUCAUCUAAAUGCAGCCCUGGACAGUCAAACACUUCACUAUUAUGCUAAUUCAUCCACUGUGGACAUAUCACAUUUUUGGUUAUGAUGAUUCUUCAUCUUUGAGGGCAAUAGACACCACCUAUGUUUUGAGAAGGUCCUCGCAGAAGCAAUGAUAUGUGGAAUAAACAGAACGUCAAGCCUGCCUGGGCAAAGUUCAGGUCCCUCCAGUUUACUGAGGAACCAAAAGAGACUGCAGUUGCCAGUCUCUCUCCAAAAGCUAAUUCUAGUGCCAAGCUCAUGGGAUACCGGGCACACAUGGAUUCCAGACAAGCGACCCAUGUAUUCCACUCAGAGUCAAGGGCAUGGUCGUGUUGAGUCAGACACUGAGUCUCCAGAUAUGCUGUGAGGACAGGACGUCGUUCUCCCAGGAAAGGAGCUACUAGGAAGACAGUGGGGGAGGAAGCGGGUGCAGCAGUAAGCAUCCACCUUCAGCCUCCCUCCACCGCCCCCUCCCCUCCCCCACUCAGUGUCUUAUUCAGAUGCUGCUGGGUGGGGCCUGGAUGUCUGUAUUUUUUGCAGGUUCCUCUCAGGAUUCGGAUGCAGAGCAAAGCUGGGGCCCAUCCGAGGGCAUCGCUUGAGACUUGCGAAGGGGAUGCUUAUUUCCCCAGGUCCAGCCCACAGGCCCCUAGCCUCUCAUGGCUCCUGACCUUGUGGUCCACGGUGUGACCAGCCUGUCCUCCCACCCCCAGGCUCUGUUGUCUGCCAUCUGUUGUCUGUGGCUUAGCUGCAGGGUGUAGCUCUCACAGGCGCUGAGCCUCCCAGCUCCUUCCUGCGAGGCCACCUCAGCUGGCUCUGUCGUGGGCUGCAGGCCGUGCUCCUCUUCCGGGGUGACUCUCACAGCUGUGUUCCUUGGGGCUCCUCCAACGUGACCCUCCUGUGGCGGCCCCAGGCCUGGAGCCGGUCAUGGCUGGAUGGGGACGGCCUCCGGUUCCUGCCUGCGUGUGUUUCUUGACGCUGCUCUAAGGUCUCACCACAGCCUGGCAGUCUCAAGCAGCACAAACUUAUUAC
rnacentral:lncRNA from 10 species